CCUGCCCCUAGAAGCAUUGUGGGUGUGACUGCAGUGUCACAGGUGCAUCAAUAGGUGGCAGAGAGGAGAGAGACCAUGUCUACUCUGUCUUCUGACCUGUGAACAUCUGAAUGAUUAGUACUCUAACAUU